UGAGUGCAGCCCUGCCAGCCCCUACCUCUGACGCUCUGGAGUUGGGGGUGGGGGAUCUAACUACCCAAACCUCCCCAGGAAGGCCGCAUCCAGGCGCAGGGAUGACCCAGCACUUACUAUCUACUCACACCCACAUUAAGGUUUCCCUUUGCCCACAAAGAGGGAUGCAGUAACAUGUCAGAUGGUGGUUUGCAUCCCUUUUUUUUGAGAUGGAGUCUCGCUCUGUCUCCUAGGCUGCCGUGCGGUGGUGCAAUUUCAGCUCACUGCAACCUCCGCCUCCCAGGUUCAAGCGAUCUCCUGCCUCAGCCUCCCAAGUAGCUGGGACUAUGGCCCGGAGGUGUCCUCGCGCCGCGCUGCUCCUGCCGCCUCGGGGGUGAGAGAGGGCGCGCCACCCGGACCCCCGGCCUGGGUCCCCC
rnacentral:lncRNA from 10 species